rnacentral:rRNA from 1 species
CUACGGGGCGCACCAGUGGGGAAUCUUGGACAAUGGGCGCAAGCCUGAUCCAGCCAUGCCGCGUGAGUGAUGAAGGCCUUAGGGUCGUAAAGCUCUUUCGCCAGGGAUGAUAAUGACAGUACCUGGUAAAGAAACCCCGGCUAACUCCGUGCCAGCAGCCGCGGUAAUACGGAGGGGGUUAGCGUUGUUCGGAAUUACUGGGCGUAAAGCGCGCGUAGGCGGAUCAGAAAGUUGGGGGUGAAAUCCCGGGGCUCAACCCCGGAACGGCCUCCAAAACUCCUGGUCUUGAGUUCGAGAGAGGUGAGUGGAAUUCCGAGUGUAGAGGUGAAAUUCGUAGAUAUUCGGAGGAACACCAGUGGCGAAGGCGGCUCACUGGCUCGAUACUGACGCUGAGGUGCGAAAGUGUGGGGAGCAAACAGGAUUAGAUACCCCUGUAGUC